rnacentral:lncRNA from 1 species
CUUUUCUCGGUGUUACAGUUGAGAACAAAUCAUCAGAUAUGGCUUAUGCUGCUCUUCUUUCUCUAAUGCACGUUCUAGAGCAAAUCAUUCAACAGAAAUAUACAUUUCUGAAUCGUCCUGUCAAAAAACAAAUUGCAUCUCUUCUCGAAAAGGUCAUUUCCUUAAAAGAUUUUCUUGAAAAUUGUUCACGAAACAGCUGUGAAGCAAUAGAAUGUUUGGAGAAUCAAAUCAGGGACGCAGCACAUCUAGCAGAAGAUAUUGUUGAAUCCUACGUUGUCGAUCGACUUCUUCCAGAAUCCACAGUUAACAGGGACAAGAUCCUUAUAUUUUUCUGCUCUGACUUGGAGAAAGUAUACAAAGAAAUUGAUUCAUUAAUGAACCAGGUGAUGAAGAUUGAGGACAACGUUGUCUUAGAAGAUCAACGGCCAAUGACUUGGAUGCCAUCAAAAAUUGCUCUCGGUGGAAACAGACUCAUUGUUAGCCUUGAUAAUGUCUUGAUGGAGAUUAAGACUCGGCUGGUUAGUGAAUCGUCACACCUUGAAACUGUCUCCAUUGUUGGAAUGGGCAGAAUGGGUAAGACUACUGUUGACCUCCAAAAAUGGCUCCUCCACGUGGCCAACUUGUAGCUACUCCACGUAUUCCUCCCUGCGUAAUGAGCAAACGGUCAGGCGCACACGGCCGGAACCGACGGGGGUGGUGGCGGCCGUAUACACUCCGACGGUCAAGUCAGGUUUGGGUGGUCGGAACAGUGCCCAGGGGCUACACAGAUCAAUCAAUAAAGGGGGGAGGAUGAUAUAUAAACUUGUUAUGGAAUGCUAUGUAUUGAGAGUUUCAUUACCUUUGCCUCUUGCCAGACCUUGGGUAUUUAUAGGUGGUAUGAACCGCGGGAUGUGGAACGCGUGUAUACAUCUGACGGUAUGAAGUGUCUGCUCAUAGACGUCAAUCAGCCGCGCUUGUAGAGUGGGCGGACAGUUUGUUUCCCCCGAGUUGAAUUGACAUAAAGUUGAUAAGUCACGUCAAGUAGCCUCAUGAGGACGUCAAAUCAAUUUAAACCUUAGGUGCAGGACAAAUCUUAAAUUGGCGGCGGAUCUUCUAACCGGGGUCCACUUGAUCUCGACUUCGGAGGUGAGAUGCUUCGGCAGAUCAGUAGUAAGAAUCGAUAUAUCACUUCAGAGAAGCUUCGGGAGGGUCGUUUUCAGGUCGGAGUAGGUGGUGAGAUGGCACUUCGGUAUCGAGGCGUAACAAUGGUCCCCCAAAUCCGGGGAUGAAUAUUUAUAUUGUGCGCGGAUUUGCUUUCCUGUCCGGGCCGCGAGUCAUGGGGUCGAUUCGUCGCAGCAGCCGAGGUUAGGAUAAUAGGCAGAUGCGGGGCAUUCGCAUCAGGCGCGUCCCAGAUUUGUGAAGUUGGAGAAAGGGCUCAGCUGCCGUCGAUGCACUGACAGAACAGGUCGACGCGUGGGGAUAGCUAAAACUUUGUAAAGUAUGGGAGGAAAACGCAGCGUCCAAGGCAAUGACCCAAUGGGGUGUUCGCAUCAGGUGCGUCCAAGCUUUGUAAAGUUGGAGGAGGAACUCAUCUCGCACCGAUGCGUUGACAGGAAAAGGUCGACGCGUGGGGAGAUGGCUGAAACUUUGUAAAGCAUGGGAGGAAAAUGCAGCGUCCGAGGCGAUGACCCAAUGGGGCGUUCGCGUCAGGUGCGUCCAAGCUUUGUAAAGUUGGAGGAGGAACUCAUCUCGCACCGAUGCGUUGACAGGAAAAGGUCGACGCGUGGGGAGAUGGCUAAAACUUUGUAAAGCAUGGGAGGAAAACGCAGCGUCCUAGGCGAUGACCCAAUGGGGCGUUUCGUCAGGUGCGUCCAAGCUUUGUAAAGUUGGAGGAGGAGCUCAUCCGAGGCGACCCAAACGUCCAAUGAUUUGACAACUGUUGCGUGUUUUCAAGGUGACAGUUGGGUGCCAUGCCCAUUCUCCUAAAAGGCUGCUGCGGCUAGUAAUUAUUAUUGAUGGCUGGUUGUAACCGAGGUGACGCGUUUCAAUUUAGCGUGAAGGUCACAGCGACAUCUUGGACGUAGAUCAAAUCUGGCGUUUCAUUUCAACGGCCCGGAUUGAGGAUGCGAGGAACGGCUUAGAUUGAUCGCAUUUGAAUUCAACGGUGGAGAUUGGACUUGUUUUUCCUAUAAAAGGAGGACUCUGGGGUUUUCUCAGACUUUCUACCUUCGCAAGAUUAAAAUCAUAAUUUGCUCUCAAAUUUCCGGCGAUUUCCGGCGUUUUGCAAGCAACUUCGGCGAGAAAGAACGAUACUUCCGGCGAUCCUACACCAUUUCCGGCUAGGAAAAACUUCCAAACCCGUAAGUUUCAG